rnacentral:misc_RNA from 1 species
UUUCCGUAGGUGAACCUGCGGAAGGAUCAUUACCGAAUUGUCAAACGGGUUGUUGCUGGCCUUCAAACGGGGACAUGUGCACGCUCUGUUUACACAUCCACUCACACCUGUGCACCCUCCGUAGUUCUAUGGUCUGGGGGACCCUGUCUUCCUGGCGUGGUUCUGCGUCUUUACACACACUCUGUAAUAAAGUCUUAUGGAAUGUAUGCCGCGUCUAACGCAAUACAAUACAACUUUCAGCAACGGAUCUCUUGGCUCUC